UCCGUAGGGUGCAAGCGUUGUCCGGAAUUAUUGGGCGUAAAGAGCUCGUAGGCGGUCUGUCGCGUCUGCUGUGAAAACUCAGGGCUUAACCCUGAGCUUGCAGUGGGUACGGGCAGACUAGAGUGCGGUAGGGGAGACUGGAAUCCCUGGUGUAGCGGUGAAAUGCGCAGAUAUCAGGAGGAACACCGGUGGCGAAGGCGGGUCUCUGGGCCGUAACUGACGCUGAGGAGCGAAAGCGUGGGGAGCGAACAGG
rnacentral:rRNA from 1 species